rnacentral:rRNA from 1 species
GACGAACGCUGGCGGCGUGCUUAACACACGCAAGUCGAACGAUGAACCCGGAGCUUGCUCCGGUGGAUUAGUGGCGAACGGGUGAGUAACACGUGAGUAACCUGGCCUUGACUCUGGGAUAACUGCGGGAAACUGUAGCUAAUACCGGAUACGACCCUCGGCGGCAUCGCCAGGGGGUGGAAAGAAUUUCGGUCAAGGAUGGACUCGCGGCCUAUCAGCUAGUUGGUGAGGUAACGGACCACCAAGGCGACGACGGGUAGCCGGCCGGAGCGGGUGACCGGCCACACUGGGACUGAGACACGGCCCAGACUCCUACGGGAGGCAGCAGUGGGGAACAUUGCACAAUGGGCGCAAGCCUGAUGCAGCAACGCCGCGUGAGGGAUGACGGCCUUCGGGUUGUAAACCUCUUUCAGCACCGACGAAGCGCAAGUGACGGUAGGUGCAGAAGAAGGACCGGCCAACUACGUGCCAGCCGCCGCCGUAA